rnacentral:rRNA from 1 species
UACGUAGGGUGCGAGCGUUAAUCGGAAUUACUGGGCGUAAAGCGUGCGCAGGCGGUUGGUUAAGUCUGAUGUGAAAGCCCCGAGCUCAACUUGGGAAUGGCAUUGGAAACUGGCUGGCUAGAGUGUGGCAGAGGGGGGGUAGAAUUCCACGUGUAGCAGUGAAAUGCGUAGAGAUGUGGAGGAACACCGAUGGCGAAGGCAGCCCCCCUGGGUCAAGAUUGACGCUCAUGCACGAAAGCGUGGGGAGCAAACAGG